GAUGAACGCUGGCGGCGUGCCUAAUACAUGCAAGUCGAGCGGACGGACGAGACUCUUGCUUCGCUGCUGUUACCGGCGGGCGGGUGAGUAACACGUGUAUGCCCUACAGAUGGGACUGAGGUCACUUAAGGGACCCGAAUCUAGCACCGGAUGAGAUUUUGAACCUCGUGGUUCAACGGUGAACGCCGUUCUUGCUGUCACUUAGAGAUGGAUCCGCGCUGGAUUAGCUAGUUGGUAAGGUAACGGCCUACCAAGGCAACGAUGCAUAGCCGACCUGAGAGGAUGAUCGGUCACACUGGAACUGAGACACGGUCCAGACUCCUACGGGAGGCAGCAGUAGGGAAUCUUGGGCAAUGGGCGAAAGCCUGACGCAGCAAUGCCGCGUGAGUGAAGAAGGUCUUCGGAUCGUAAAACUCUGUUAGUAGGGAAGAACAGAUGUGUAAGUAAAUGUGGCCGUCUUGACGUUACCAACUCAGAAAGCACCGGCUAACUACGUG
rnacentral:rRNA from 1 species